GAAUGGGGAAACCCAGUGUGUUUCGACACACUAUCAUUAACUGAAUCCAUAGGUUAAUGAGGCGAACCGGGGGAACUGAAACAUCUAAGUACCCCGAGGAAAAGAAAUCAACCGAGAUUCCCCCAGUAGCGGCGAGCGAACGGGGAGGAGCCCAGAGCCUGAAUCAGUGUGUGUGUUAGUGGAAGCGUCUGGAAAGGCGCGCGAUACAGGGUGACAGCCCCGUACACAAAAAUGCACAUAUUGUGAGCUCGAUGAGUAGGGCGGGACACGUGGUAUCCUGUCUGAAUAUGGGGGGACCAUCCUCCAAGGCUAAAUACUCCUGACUGACCGAUAGUGAACCAGUACCGUGAGGGAAAGGCGAAAAGAACCCCGGCGAGGGGAGUGAAAAAGAACCUGAAACCGUGUAC
rnacentral:rRNA from 1 species